rnacentral:rRNA from 1 species
AUCCGGGUUGCGGACAGUGUCUGGUGGGUAGUUUGACUGGGGCGGUCUCCUCCCAAAGAGUAACGGAGGAGCACGAAGGUUAGCUAAUCCUGGUCGGACAUCAGGAGGUUAGUGCAAUGGCAUAAGCUAGCUUGACUGCGAGAGUGACGGCUCGAGCAGGUGCGAAAGCAGGUCAUAGUGAUCCGGUGGUUCUGAAUGGAAGGGCCAUCGCUCAACGGAUAAAAGGUACUCCGGGGAUAACAGGCUGAUACCGCCCAAGAGUUCAUAUCGACGGCGGUGUUUGGCACCUCGAUGUCGGCUCAUCACAUCCUGGGGCUGAAGUAGGUCCCAAGGGUAUGGCUGUUCGCCAUUUAAAGUGGUACGCGAGCUGGGUUUAGAACGUCGUGAGACAGUUCGGUCCCUAUCUGCCGUGGGCGCUGGAGAAUUGAGGGGGGCUGCUCCUAGUACGAGAGGACCGGAGUGGACGCAUCACUGGUGUUCGGGUUGUCAUGCCAAUGGCACUGCCCGGUAGCUAAAUGCGGAA